CUGCUUCCAUAAAUGUAACACUGAAUUCCUUGAGAAUAUUGGCAUGACUGUUUAAUCUCCUUCUCCAGGCAUGCUCUGGUGGGGCAGCACUUUCAAAAUCCAAUAAUUGCAAGGUAGUUCUGCUGACAUACUCCUCAGGCGGCCAUGAAUUCUUUCUACAGUGAAACAAAUUGGUAGUAACCAUCUCGAUAACUUCUCUCCGUUUUUGCCUCUCAAACUAACGUCAUAAAAUUAUAUGUGCAAAUUCCGUUUUUCUUCGAAGCUAAUGUAAAGCCAAACACUCCCUUUACCUACAAACAAAAACAAGUGUACACCAAAAUUCAAGUAAACUUCACUAUCGACAACAACAACGCCCAACGCUACCUUCCUUGAAGGAUUAUCUUCUCUCUUAGUUUUCUCUCUCUCUCUCUCUCUCUCUCUC
rnacentral:misc_RNA from 1 species